AGCCAUUUUGUUGUGUGUGGGAGCAGCCACUUUGUUGUAACACGUGGCUGACGUCGUUCCGUGUGUCUCUAAGGGUGUCACCUCAGGAUGAACGACAGCACGAGCGGCCAUUUUGUGGAGUUUUCUCUCUUGAGCUGACACCACAACCUCGCACUUGGAGAGAAGUUUGGGUGGCAACAUCACAUUUUUAAAGGCACAGCUUCAUUUCAAGCCACAGUCUGAUCACUUGACAAGGACUGCAAGAGACUAAAUUUACAUUCUGUUACCACACCCCAGAAACAUCUGCUGUAACUGGAUUUGGCCUCUGUUAUGUGUCAACCUGAACCACCUGAGAGGUUCCACACCCAAGAGGAAAAACCCCUGGCACCAUCUCAGCCCCUUCUUUGACCAGACUGCUCUUCUGAGGAGAGACAAUCACUGAGUCCAGGAGAUGCUGUGCAUGGAAUAACUUGAUCAUGGUCUGGUUUUCACUUUCCAGAUAAGUGCAGUCACACUACAAAAUGCAGUACACAUUCUUGAAAAUAGAGGUUAUGAUGUCACUUGAAGGGAAAAGUCAGAUACAAAUGUGUAUCAUAUAUGACAGCUCCUUCCUUGCUCUGCACAGAUGGUUCUGAACAUGUGUUUCUUUACCUGCUGAUUCAAUACCUCCAUCAUUUUGUCCCUCAGUGAAAUUUCUUUCCUGGGAUCCUUGCCAAAUGUUUAAAUUCAGAGUGAUGGUAUUUUUUUCUGGGAGGAUUGUGUCUCCACAAAGAGCCAAAAAGGCUGCACUGGGAAGCUGUCACACAGUCCUGCUUCUAGAGUUGUGUGUGACAAAGGAAAAAGCUUUAAUGUCACUAUUAACAAAUGUACUAUCACUCAGCCUUAUCACCUCCUGACAUCCCUUGUCUCUCUCUUCCAACUUCCUUUUGUCUUCUCACUAUCCUCAGGUGCCUGUCACAGCAAAAAAAAAAAAGAACUUAAACCAACUCCCAUGGCUCCCUGGCUAAUCUUUUAACUUUCAAAAGUGAAUUAUACAAAUGUACUUCCCCCUCCCCCCAAAACUUCCUCUCUUUAAAACUUUAGGGAUGCACAAAACCUCUGGUGGACCAGGGAAAAAAAAGGAAAAAAGAAGAAAGACUCUUGUACAGUGGAUUCCAUGGACCCAACCUGAAGUAUCAAAAAAAAAAAAAAAAAAAGUGAGUUAACACUUGGAUUUGUGAAAACAGCAUUUAGUUGAUGUUAAUGGAGCUUAUGUGAGUAUAAUUUUGCAUGCAAAGAGCAAUGAGUCAAGUCACAGAAGAGGUUUGGAAAAUAAUGAGACUUUGCCUCACCAUAUAUUAUUAAUUCUGUGGAUAUUAAUAUUUCUCUUCAAUAAUUCGUGACCUGCAUUCAUUUCUGUGGGAUCCUGAUGUUUUCUGGGACAGUCCCACUAUCUGGCAAGGGGGGGAAUGAAUGGGACAGAAGCUCAGGUGUGGAAAACCAUUGAUUUUUGUAACAUUGCAGAUCUGAGGUGCUACUGGGGAAGUGAAUAUAUGAGGAGCAAGUGCUUCAGGAAAAAAACACUUGGAGCCUUUAGACAGUUCAAUAUGUAAUUCUGGAAAUGCUACAGAGUGUUUUGGCCCCAGUUUCUGUAACCAUUUAUCAGAGCUAAGAGAUUAUAGUUAGUUAUGGGUGUGCUACAACUGUUUUUCUCCAGAGCUAUAUCCUUAAUUGCAUUUCUACACAAUAUAUUCUUGUCUCUUGUAACAGAAGCUGUUGUUUGCUGUAUGAAGAUUUUGUCAGGGUGCAGAAGGGUGGUUGUGGAGUGGCUGGAGCUGUAGAUCAAGCCAGGCCUGAGCACCAAGCAGUUCCCAGGGGCAGUGAGUUGCUGCAGUGGGGUCUGGGAGCUCUCCCAGUGGGAAGGGGCAGCUUUGCUGGGCUGUGCUGGAGCUGCUCUCAGAGGGGAUCUGCUCAGGACCCUCUCAGAGCUCACCAGAAAAAAUUUCCCUUUCAAUUAAAAGCCAAAGACUGAGAAUUAGGUCUCAGGAAUUUCUAUUCCUCUAUCAAGACAACUUCCUUCUCUCUCACCCUUGUUCAUGUCCCUCCCAGCCCUCCCUGCACUGUGCUGGACCAUUCCACCCCAGGAAUGAUCUGUGCUGGACCAUUCCACCCCAGGGCAGAGUUUAUCACCCCCACUUGCAAGUAAAGAUGCCUUUGGUGUGACUACAAAAGAAUCCAAGUUCGAUAUUGAAAAUUUCAUUCUUUUUAAACCAGUGGCACAAUUUAUGAGCAGCUGUGGGACAGGGGGGUGAAUUUUAGCAGGGCUCUCAUGAAAGAUGGAUAUGGUUCAUUCUCCCCAUUCAUCUUUUUGAACAGUUACAUUGGCUCCUUGUGCCAUUUACUGUGAUGCUGUCAGGACUAAGGGAAAAAAUCCUAUUCUAGAGAAGCAGAAUGGAAGGGAAUGAGGUGACUUGUAGGCACUGCCAGGUUGGAAUGAAGGGCUUUUCAAGGACCAUCAACAUAUGAAUAGGAUUACCUUGGAUGCACUGGUGACCAGACAUAUUUUUAGCCUUUGGCAGACAAGAAUGGAACCUCUGAAAACAGCAGGAGUGCCACUCAGAAUGUAAGAAUUCCAUCCCAGAGCAGCACAGAGGGGGAGUUGAAAUUUUUGGAGAAGGGGACAAGGAGAUGGGCAGUGCCAUAGUUUUAAUUUCUUUUUUUUUUUUUCCUUCUGAUUUCAGGAUCCUAAAAUACCAUGUUCCAAAUGAAUAAUAAAUGUCAGGUUGGCUGCAAAAGUCUUCCUGGUGCCACUGCACAUUUGUGUUGUGUUGAUUUUGAAAGAUUGGUCAUUUGAAUCCAGCUGGGGAUCUGGUGAGAAACGGGCUGUGAACUUUAGCAGCAAGUUAGGAGAAGCAGUGAUUGCCUAAAAUUUAAAAUUGGUGUCCCUGCCAGAGGAGGGGUUGGCUGAUGUUGAAAACUGCAACUUUCAAAAGGAAUUUUAGCUCUCUUUUAAAAUUCCACCUCCUUUUACUGCAAUAUUUAACCAUUACCCCUGACUUGUGAACUAACCUUUGUACUCUUAUGGCUAAUAAUGUCUGGGAUCUGCUAAGAUCUGUGACAAAGCAGAAUUUUCUAGGCUUGACUGCACCCUCUGUCAAGAGGUUAUAAAUCAGCUUGAAGUCCCUCUUCCAAAUGCAGUGUCACUCUCAGUGCCAAGCUGGUGAGCCUGGUAACAUAAAAUACAUGUAAGUGAUAAUAUAAGUAAGUGAUUUCAGUUUAGUGAUUUUAUGGUUUACAUGACUCCAUUGAAUAAAAUCCAUGCAUAUUUUUAAAGAUGUUUCACAGUGGGAUUAUUUUUAAGCCUUUCUAACAAGUGCUGUCAGACUAGCUUAAAACAAAGCAGAAGUGAAAUAAUAAUG